GAUGAACGCUAGCGGCAGGCCUAAUACAUGCAAGUCGAACGGUAAGGCUCACUUCGGUGAGUACACGAGUGGCGCACGGGUGCGUAACGCGUAUGCAACCUACCCUACAGAGGAGGAUACCCAGUGGAAACGCUGAAUAAUACUCCAUAUACUCACAGUAUUGCAUAAUACAAUGAGGAAAACUCCGGUGCUGUAGGAUGGGCAUGCGUGACAUUAGUUAGUUGGCGAGGUAACGGCUCACCAAGACGACGAUGUCUAGCUGGUCUGAGAGGAUGAUCAGCCACACUGGGACUGAGACACGGCCCAG
rnacentral:rRNA from 1 species